AAGNAUCAUUAAAAGUAUAUAGUUAUACAUUCUGUGUAUCGACUAAAUAUACCCAUUCUGAGUACCUUGCCUGUUGCUUCCAUGGAGCCNGACACAUGUCACUCUGGGGAUUUACAUCCCGAGGGAGCCUCCGUGGAAGGUAAUCUAUUAACUCUUGAAUCCAAUGUCAUCUGUCUGAUAAUGUUUAUAACAAAUGUUAAAACUUUCAACAACGGAUCUCUUGGUUCUCGCAUCGAUGAAGAACGCAGCGAAAUGCGAUAAGUAGUGUGAAUUGCAGAAUUCAGUGAAUCAUCGAAUCUUUGAACGCACAUUGCGCCUCCUGGGUAUUCCGGGAGGCAUGCCUGUUCGAGCGUCAUUAAAUACCCACUCAAGCUCUUCUGCUUGGUCAUGGAAGAAGAGAAUGCUUGCAUCCUCUCUUCUGAAAUCGAACGGCGGACUGCCUCAUGUGCCUCGCGUAGUAAGUUCAUCUUUUCGCUUGGAGUGUGAGAUAGUCUCGCCAUCAACCCCCAUACUUCUAAGGUUGACCUCGGAUCAGGUAGGGAUACCCGCUGAACUUAAGCAUAUCAAUAAGCGGAGGAAAAGAAACCAACAGGGAUUGCCUCAGUAACUGCGAGUGAAGCGGCAAAAGCUCAAAUUUGAAAUCUGG
rnacentral:rRNA from 1 species